AACUUCAAUAACUACAGUCGCAGUCCUUUAUUUGAAAAACUCAUUACACUUUUCGUCCUUUACCACUAACUAGGUUAAAAAUUUAAGUUAUGUCUAAUCAUGUGACUUACACAUGAGGGGUAGAUUGGUAAAACCUUGUCUUUCUUGCUAAUCCCAUAUCUUCAACCAACCUCACCACCACUACCGUAGCCCAGCCACCACCACGGAAUCAAGCCUCACCACCACCGUACCCCAGCCACCACCACUGAAUCGAACUAAUGGAGCAGCUUUACUGAUGGAACACAGGGGUUAUUGAAAUCUGAGGUACAUUUCAUCAACCACCGUGCAACCACCACCACAUAACCGAUCCAAGCAAAAACAACUUCUCAGCAAAGGAAACUCACCAGCGAAGGAAAAAGGGAGAGAUCAUUAAACAACAAUCAUUGAAGUCACCAGCAAAGGAAACUCACCAGCGAAGGAAACAACCGCGGCGGAGCAAUCAUUGAAGUCACAACCACGGCGGAGCAAUCAUUGAACAGAUCCAACGGUCUGUUAACCACCCCUAAAAACCAUCUCCUCUGAGAUGGCCUAAUCGCCGGCUUAAACCUUCAACACAAGGAGAGAGGAGGAAACUCACCGGAACAGGGCUGUUGGUCAGAACACGACUGUGAAUCCGCCGGUGCACCAUCUGGAACAACGUUGUUGGUCAGAACACCACCGGAACAGGAAACUCGUACACCAUCUGAACCAUGGAAGUAGAACCUCCGCCGUGAAUCCGCCGUUAAUGCUAAAGGACGAAAGGUGUAAUGAGUUUUUCAAAUAAAGGACUGUGACUGUAGUUAUUGAAGUUAAAGGCUAUCCAUUGCAAUUCGAUACAAACAUAAAGGACGAAAAGUGUAAUUUAAAGCAACCAGAUUGCCGCCAAAAGAAACAAGUUGACCACCUUCCUUUUCUUUUACCUAUGAUCGCUGAUUGAUCGGAAGUCGAUAUAAUUUCCGCAUUUCCUUUUCGGUUCCAAUCACGAUCAAAGACGAAAUCAUGUCCCGGUUCUUCGAUAAUUAUUAUUCUUACCAUUUCGAUUCGGAAAGUUAACAAAAUUCGAUUCUAUGAUUUGUGUAUAUAUAGCAUCGAUCCACCUCGUCAUCUCUCACACCCAAGCCUUUUCGACACACUCUCACAACCUCCUUCGUAUAAACCCGCGAAUCGCCGGAACACAUUCCUAGUUCACGCCACCGGUUCGAUACUCUAGCCCUAUCACCCUCUUCCAUUGUGUGUUCACCGAGCAUGUCACCGGAGUUCGAAGACGAGGAACAACCGGGAACUCACCAGAGACACUACGGCCAUCCAACGCAUUUCGUUUCGGUUGAUAGAUGAAGAAUUCAAGAAUCAAGUUAGGGUGGAUUAGAAACACACCUAGA